rnacentral:rRNA from 1 species
GAUGAACGCUGGCGGCGUGCUUAACACAUGCAAGUCGAACGAAGCAUCCAUGAUUGAGACUUCGGUGGAUUGAUUGGAUGACUGAGUGGCGGACGGGUGAGUAACGCGUGGGCAACCUGCCCUGUACAGGGGGACAACAGUUGGAAACGACUGCUAAUACCGCAUAAGCCCACACUGCCGCAUGGCAGAGUGAGAAAAGGAGUAAUCCGCUUUAAGAUGGACUCGCGUCUGAUUAGAUAGUUGGCGGGGUAACGGCCCACCAAGUCGACGAUCAGUAGCCGGACUGAGAGGUUGAUCGGCCACAUUGGGACUGAGACACGGCCCAG